CAGUCGAGCGGACAGAUGGGAGCUUGCUCCCUGAUGUUAGCGGCGGACGGGUGAGUAACACGUGGGUAACCUGCCUGUAAGACUGGGAUAACUCCGGGAAACCGGGGCUAAUACCGGAUGGUUGUUUGAACCGCAUGGUUCAAACAUAAAAGGUGGCUUCGGCUACCACUUACAGAUGGACCCGCGGCGCAUUAGCUAGUUGGUGAGGUAACGGCUCACCAAGGCAACGAUGCGUAGCCGACCUGAGAGGGUGAUCGGCCACACUGGGACUGAGACACGGCCCAGACUCCUACGGGAGGCAGCAGUAGGGAAUCUUCCGCAAUGGACGAAAGUCUGACGGAGCAACGCCGCGUGAGUGAUGAAGGUUUUCGGAUCGUAAAGCUCUGUUGUUAGGGAAGAACAAGUACCGUUCGAAUAGGGCGGUACCUUGACGGUACCUAACCAGAAAGCCACGGCUAACUACGUGCCAGCAGCCGCGGUAAUACGUAGGUGGCAAGCGUUGUCCGGAAUUAUUGGGCGUAAAGGGCUCGCAGGCGGUUUCUUAAGUCUGAUGUGAAAGCCCCCGGCUCAACCGGGGAGGGUCAUUGGAAACUGGGGAACUUGAGUGCAGAAGAGGAGAGUGGAAUUCCACGUGUAGCGGUGAAAUGCGUAGAGAUGUGGAGGAACACCAGUGGCGAAGGCGACUCUCUGGUCUGUAACUGACGCUGAGGAGCGAAAGCGUGGGAGCGAACAGGAUUAGAUACCCUGGUAGUCCACGCCGUAAACGAUGAGUGCUAAGUGUUAGGGGGUUUCC
rnacentral:rRNA from 1 species